rnacentral:rRNA from 2 species
CGAGUGGCGGACGGGUGAGUAACACGUAGGUAACCUGCCCAGAAGCGGGGGACAACAUUUGGAAACAGAUGCUAAUACCGCAUAACAACGUUGUUCGCAUGAACAACGCUUAAAAGAUGGCUUCUCGCUAUCACUUCUGGAUGGACCUGCGGUGCAUUAGCUUGUUGGUGGGGUAAUGGCCUACCAAGGCGAUGAUGCAUAGCCGAGUUGAGAGACUGAUCGGCCACAAUGGGACUGAGACACGGCCCAUACUCCUACGGGAGGCAGCAGUAGGGAAUCUUCCACAAUGGGCGCAAGCCUGAUGGAGCAACACCGCGUGAGUGAAGAAGGGUUUCGGCUCGUAAAGCUCUGUUGUUAAAGAAGAACACGUAUGAGAGUAACUGUUCAUACGUUGACGGUAUUUAACCAGAAAGUCACGGCUAACUACGUGCCAGCAGCCGCGGUAAUACGUAGGUGGCAAGCGUUAUCCGGAUUUAUUGGGCGUAAAGAGAGUGCAGGCGGUUUUCUAAGUCUGAUGUGAAAGCCUUCGGCUUAACCGGAGAAGUGCAUCGGAAACUGGAUAACUUGAGUGCAGAAGAGGGUAGUGGAACUCCAUGUGUAGCGGUGGAAUGCGUAGAUAUAUGGAAGAACACCAGUGGCGAAGGCGGCUACCUGGUCUGCAACUGACGCUGAGACUCGAAAGCAUGGGUAGCGAACAGGAUUAGAUACCCUGGUAGUCCAUGCCGUAAACGAUGAGUGCUAGGUGUUGGAGGGUUUCCGCCCUUCAGUGCCGGAGCUAACGCAUUAAGCACUCCGCCUGGGGAGUACGACCGCAAGGUUGAAACUCAAAGGAAUUGACGGGGGCCCGCACAAGCGGUGGAGCAUGUGGUUUAAUUCGAAGCUACGCGAAGAACCUUACCAGGUCUUGACAUCUUGCGCCAACCCUAGAGAUAGGGCGUUUCCUUCGGGAACGCAAUGACAGGUGGUGCAUGGUCGUCGUCAGCUCGUGUCGUGAGAUGUUGGGUUAAGUCCCGCAACGAGCGCAACCCUUGUUACUAGUUGCCAGCAUUAAGUUGGGCACUCUAGUGAGACUGCCGGUGACAAACCGGAGGAAGGUGGGGACGACGUCAGAUCAUCAUGCCCCUUAUGACCUGGGCUACACACGUGCUACAAUGGACGGUACAACGAGUCGCGAACUCGCGAGGGCAAGCAAAUCUCUUAAAACCGUUCUCAGUUCGGACUGCAGGCUGCAACUCGCCUGCACGAAGUCGGAAUCGCUAGUAAUCGCGGAUCAGCAUGCCGCGGUGAAUACGUUCCCG